rnacentral:tRNA from 1 species
GGUGGGGUGGCCGAGUGGCUAAUGGCAGCAGACUGUAAAUCUGCCGGGCACUGCCCUACGAAGGUUCGAAUCCUUCCCCCACCA